rnacentral:lncRNA from 1 species
AAGGGAUUGCCUGUGGGGUGGUCCAGAUGAAGGAUCUUGGUUUGGGCCAUAUGUUGAUCGGGGAUCCAACGGCUGAGGUUGAAGGAACCAAAGUGAGAAAUAAUAAUAGUAAGUUUAAAAUAGUGGAAAAAUUAUUGGUACCCAUUUUUGGUUAUGAAAAGUAAGGUGUGUGAUGAGUGAUGAAUAGAAGAAUGGAGAGGAAAAGUUUAUAUAGUUUUUGAAUUAUGAUAUAACAAGUCAAUGGAACGACCGAUAUUUCAUUUGUUUUAGCUUUUAAAUGUAUAUAUAUUUUUUCUGAUUGGUUUCUUCCAUUUGGCAUUUUGUGUUUAGUUCAUAUAAAUAAUUGUGUAUUGUGUUUAAACGAUGAUUAAUCGGCUAUAAAGUGUUAUGUAUGGUGCAUUAUAAGGGUAAGUUGGUGUUUGAGAUAACUUUUCAAAAAACUUAAAAAACUAGUAAGUUAAAAAAAUAUUUGUGUAUUUAAAAAAAACGUUUUUUAAAAUAGUUUAUUGGAUAGGAAAAAAUAAAGCUUUUAAAAAACUAAAAAAUCCUAACUUUUUAGCUUUUUAACCAUUUUACUCCUGGAAAAUCAGUUUUUCUUAUCUAAAUAUUUUUUAAAAUCAGUUUUUUUUUUAAAAAAAAAACCAUAAGCUAAUAAACAUUUUUUUUAAAUCACUUUUGAGAUAAAAAACUAAACCAAACAUUCCCUAAUUUGUUUAAAAGUACUUGCAAAUGUUUUAUAAUACAUCACGUGAUGCGUAUGGAUUGAUAAGCCAUAUGAAAUGAUCAUUACACGUGGAGUAUGAUUUCAUGAUGAUUUGCUAUGUGUUAAGCCAUAUGAUAUUUAAAUUAAUAUUUUGCAGGAGAUGUUUAUUUAAAUUAACAUAUUGUAAUAAAUGGAGUAUGAUUUCAUGAUGAUUUAGUAUGUGUUAAGCCAUAUGAUAUGAUCAUGAUGUUUAAAUUAACAUUUUGUAAUAAAUGGAGAUGUUUAUUUAAUGUUGAUAGUACGGAAUAGUAAUAAUGAUGUUAAUUUUUAUUCAUGUAGAUGAUAACGAUACAAGCUAGCAUAAACAAAUUUUUUUUUUUUUCCAAUCAACAUACAUUAAAUUAAUUUUUUAAUUCACCUUAAAAUUUAAAUAUCUAAUAGUUGUUUAAUUUUAUUAUAUAAGAACAUGUAUUGUUAAUCGGCCACUAGUGCCGGCGAGCAGUGGAUUGCGUUGGUUUUCUUGAAGUGCUUUCGACUGCCGGAUUUCUAUUAUUUUAUUAACUUCUUGGGGGCAUAUUUUACUGUAUUAAAAGAUAAAGGAGCCGAAUGUAAACUUUGAAUAUUCCUAGGACCCUUUCUAAACAAACUAAAUAAUUGAUAAUCUAAUCUUUUGAGGAUAUAAUUUUGUAAGAUUCUUAGGAAUAUGUUUAAUCUUUAUCUUGGACCCCAGUUGUAAUUUUUUUAUGAAUCCGCUUGAAGACAUGUUUCUAGUCAGUAUAUAUAUGUGAAGCUUUCGGUUGAGGCAGUUGUUGCGUGCAUUACGUUGACGUUGACUCGUUGACCCUUUUGACUCAAGGGUGUAAAACUAGUAUGCCUUUGUAGCAAUCCUAAACUGGGAGCGUAACAAUAGAGCUUUGAAUAUGAUCCACGUAAUUUCUAUUUCUAUUUGUAUUUGUAAGGGAUCACUAGAGUUUCAUGUGAUGAUGGACUAUAAUUGUCGUAAGUAUGCUCUUGGCAUCGAGGAAAUCAUAUUUAUACUCACAUAGUCAUAGAUAUAUAUGUAAACUAUUUAUUUUCUCUUGGUAUCUCAUUAUCAUUAUCAAAAAAUAUAUAGGAAAAUUACAAUGCAUACAGUGGGCCGAGCAUGGGCGGAUCCACCUUGGAGCCCGGGAUCCCCUAAAAAAAAAUUUAGUAGUAUAAAUUUUUUUAGAAAAUUUCGUUUAUGUUUAUGUGGCUGUGACACCCUAGAAAAUAAUUUAGGCUACCAUAAUUUUUUUUUUUUUUUUAAUUUGUAUAUGGUAAAUUCAAUUACAAACUAGUCUCAUAAGUGCUACAAACUUGUUAAACCCAAUUGGCCGGUUCCCAACACAAAAUUAAUUUAAUGACACAAAAUUUAGCUUAAUACCAAUUAUGAAAAAUCGAAAAUUAACAAUUCAACAAAUCAAUCGACUUCUUNNNNNNNNNNNNNNNNNNNNNNNNNNNNNNNNNNNNNNNNNNNNNNNNNNNNNNNNNNNNNNNNNNNNNNNNNNNNNNCUGGAUGAUUUGCCUUUGGUGGUGGGUCAUUAUUGAUCAAAGUGGACAAUGAAGCAAGUAAGUACAAAAAUUAGUGAUUAUUGUUAGGUUAACUGAAAUUCAAUUUUUUUGGCAUUGUGUUGAAAAAUUAGAAAUUACCAAUUAAGAUUGUCAGAUUAGGGACUUAGGGUUAAUGAAAAUAUGCCAUGGUUAGUAAUUAGUGAUUAUUUAUUGUUGAAACUUGAAAUCAAGUUUAUCGUUGGUAUAUUUUGAUAAUUUGAUUGUAGGUUGUAUUUGUUGUUGAAACUUGAAAUCAAGUUUAUAGUUGAUAUAUUUUGAUUGUAGGUUGCUAUUAACAAAAUUUUCAAAUGACAACAACAAUGGUGAAAAAACUUCAAAAAAAUGCUAAUAAAAAUACACAAGUUCCACAACCUAAUCAACCUAUUCCAAAAGCUCAAGAACCACAAUCUAAUGAACAUACUCCAAAACCACAAGAACCACAAUCCAAUUACUCGCUUUCGUAAAAUAAAAAAAUGAAGAUGUGAACUUUAAAACUUAACUUUGUUAUGGAAGUUGAACUUUAUCUGUAAUGAAAUUGUGGUUUUUAUUUUUUUUCUUAUUGUAUAUUACAUCAUUUUUUUGGGAUACCCGUUUACUUUUACCCUGGCUCCGCCACUGGGCCAAGAAUAUAAACAUAAAUAAUACAUAAAAUAGCAUACACUGUCAACCUCAUGUAGUCUUAAAAGGAGGAUGAUUCCAAAUGUUGAGACUAAAUUCGAAAUCAAGAAAUCCCGUCAAAAGAAGACCCUUAGUAAAAUGCCAGCGUAUUGAGACGUAGAGGGUACAUGAAGAACUUGAACAUGACCCUUGGCGACUUGAUCACAAGUGGAUAUCAAUCUUGAUGUGCUUUACCUUCUGAUGCUGAAGCAUGUUGAUAAAAAAACCACAACACUAGUGUUGUCGUAAUAAACAAUAUUGGUUUUGGUAAGCGGUCAAUGCAAUUUACAUAAAAGAUUUUUUAGCCAACAUUGUUCAGCGAAAACAUUCGCAACGCCAUGGUAUUCAACAUCAGCACUAGAUCUAAAAAUCGUUCCUUGUCACUUUAAAGAUCAAGUCAAUAAACUUUGACCCAAAAUACAUAAUAACCUAUUGUGGAGUGUCUAGUAUUAGGGAAGCCAACCUAAUCAACAUCAUAAUAAGUUAUAAGGCCAUGUGACGAAGAAGCAUAAAGUCGUAAACCAUAGUCUAUGGUUCCCUAAUAAUAACGAAGAAUUCUUUUGAGAAUCGAGAAGUGUGACUCCUAAGAAUCACACAUAAAUAAGUCAAUAUAUCGGACAACAUAAGUAAGCUCUAUACGAGUAAAAGUAAGAUAUCGUAGUGGACGUACGAGACAGAGAUAUAGUUUCGGAUCUAUAACUAAAGGGUUGGUGUCAUCGAGUUUCACAUGUGUAUAUGGAGUACGAGCAAACUUAUAAUUAAGCAUGUUAAAUUUGUUCAAAAUCUCCUAGGCAUGCUUAUGCUAUUAUAAAAAAAACAUAUUGUCCCGAGACACAAAAAUACAAAAAAAAUGAGAUUUUUAAGGCAUUUUUCUCUUCAUUCGAUCUUGCCCCUCUCAUCUCUUAUGUAUUAAGCUGUUGAGUUGCUCUAACUUAAGGUAAAUCAUUAAUAUUUGAUGUGGUUCUUCUAAAAUCUUUGUGGUCGCUUCAGUUUCUUAGUUAGAUGAAUACCAAGGAAAAAAAAUCAAAAGUCUUAAAUGUUUAUGGAAGGCUUUAUAGACAUCGUUAAGUAGUUUAGUUUAAAUUUCUAAUGUUAGAGACCCUUCAUGUACACCUGAUUACAUUUGUGGAUACUUUUUCUAGUGUGUCUUGGAUGAUUAUUAAAACCAAGGUUGUCAAGAUCAUGAUCUUGAUUGUAAGAUCCUAUGAUCUUACCUGUGAAAACUGUAACACCCGUUUCCCAUAAUGGAUCAGUUAAUGAUGUAAAUGAUUACGUGUCUCGGAUAGACUCCAUAACGUGACAUGAAGGGUGUCAAGGCGAGGAGGCUGUUUCAGUCCAAGCCCAGAAUUUUUAGGGUUUUCUCUAUAUUUAACCCCCUAAACUCAAGGUUUAGGGCAUCCUCUUCAGCCCCCAACCCUUUCAACGGAAUCAUAUCCCCCAUUGUUGAUUUCUUGAGCUUUUAGUGGUGUUUUUGGAGUCUUGAAGGAGAAGGAAGUAUCAUUGGUUGAAAAAUGUUUAAUUGAGUGGGGGUUAAAAAAUAUCUUGACUAUAAAAGUGGAUAAUGCUAGCUCUAAUGAUGUAGCUAUUAACCAUUUGAAAAGUGUUCUUAACCAUUAGGAAUAUGGUGUUAUGAAAGGGGCUUUUUUACAUAUGAGAUGUAUGGCUCACAUCUUAAACUUGGUGGUCAGAGAUGGGCUGUUGGAUGUCAGUUUGUCUAUUAAAAAAAUUCGCACUCUUGUAAAAUAUGUAAGGUCAUCUCCCGCUAAGCUUCAAAAGUUCAAAGCUGUUGUUGAAGAAGAAAAGAUAGAAAGCAAGAGUCUUGUUUCUAUGGAUGUUGAAACACGUUGGAACUUAACAUUUCUGAUGCUCGAAAGUGUCAUGAAGUUUAAAAAAGCUUUCUCGAACUUGCUUCUAAAAGAUUCUAAUUAUGCGAAAGAGCUAAAAAGUGUGAGGGUGGUUUGAUUAAUGAUGAAGAUUGGGUUAAUGUUAAUAGUCUGUUGCCUUUUUUGAAGAUCCUUUUUGAUGUUGCUAAAAGGUCUUUUGGUUCUUGUUAUGUGACUUCAAAUGCUUAUGUACAUGAGAUUUUGGGAAUUGGUAAUGUUAUUGAUGGAUUUACCAUGCACGCUGAUCAGUCCAUUAAGUCCAUGACACUUAAAAUGCAAGCAAAAUACAAGAAGUAUUGGGGGGGGGGGGACAUAGCGAAACNNNNNNNNNGGGGGGACAUAGCGAAACUUAAUUAGUUUUUGAUCAUCAGGGUAGUUCUUGACCCAAGACGUAAAUGGCAAUAUAUUGCAUGGCUUGUGGAAGAAAGCUUUGAAGAAAAGAAAGCACGUACUUUUCUUUUAAAUCUAGAUUCCAACAUGCGGGUCUUGUUUGAUCUCUAUAAUGCUUCCAUGCCUCAAAAAGAAAAGGAUGAGGAGGUGUCAUCUUCUACUUCUAAAGCUAGUCCUAAUUCUAUGUGGGGGCAUGAGGUAGUCAUGGAUAUUGAGGAACUUAUGACUAAACGUUUUGAAAUGGCUAUGGGGAGUUCUGAAACCAUUUUGAAGAAAACAAAAUUAGACAAAUAUCUAGGGGAAGACCAUGAAGCUAUGGAUGCCAACUUUGACAUAUUAAAAUGGUGGAAGAUUAAAAAAUGUAGAUAUCAUGUUCUUGCAAAGAUGGACCGAGAUAUGCUUGCUAUUCUAGUUUCUACGGUUGCCUCUCAGUUGGAUUUUAGCAUAGGAGGACGGGUGUUUGAUUGCUUUCGAACAUCUUUAAUUCCUAGAAUGGUGGAAGCCUUAGUAUGCACACAAGAUUGGGUGCAUGAUUCUCAUGAUGCAAUUAAUGUUGAUGCCAUAUUGCUUGAAAUAGAGAAAAUAGAGGAUGAAAGUUGGUCUUAAAUUCACAAAGUUUUUAUUUUUAUUUAUAUUUGUAAUGUUUUCUUUUUUAUUUUAAUUCACAAGUUUGAAUGACUUAACUGUGGAGCAACCUACCAUCAUAAUUGAUGAAACAGUCGAUGAAUUACCUGAAAACAUUGGAGGUAUUAUUUUAUUAAAGUUUCUAUACAUUAAAAACAAUUUAAAAAUGUAUCUAUUUUUCUACCCCGAUUCUGUUGUCAAAAAAAUUAAAGCUUAAUCUGAUUUUUUUUACUUCCUGCCAUUAGAUUGGAGGUUUUCAGAAUCUGAUUAAACUCAAUUUCUACCAGAUUAUACAUGAAUCAAGGUAAUCUUAAGUAAUAAGUAGGGGUUGAGGUGUAUGAUAUUACAUAAUGCAUGCGUAAUACGUACAAUGAUACAAUCUGUCAGUUUUGUCUUAAUUUUAAUGUUAUUUAUUUAUUUAUUUUUUUUCUUUUUCAGAAAAUGGUGUUGAAGUGCUAGUUGUUCGUUGCAUUGCCGGAAGAUGGAAAUAGUGAAUGGAUAUUUUGAAAAGUUAAUUGUGUGUUUUAAACUUUGAAUUGUUUUUUGGAAUCUUGUUUGUGUGCUUUAAACUUUGGAUGUUUUUUAGUUCAUGAGGGUAACAAAUAAACUAGAAUGUUAUAUGUUGUCAUUGUUAACAUUUGAAUUAGUAAUAUGUAAUGUUAUUUUUUUAAUAUUGCUGACAUUUGAAAAAAAACAAAUAUGGAUGAUUGCAUUUUUGGAUAUCCAGAUUAAUAUCCGAAAUUUCGGAUCUUCGAAAUUUCGGAUACGGAAUCGAAUAUCAAUAUCUACUUUUCGAAAUUUCCGGAUAUCCGGUUAUAAACACCCCUAAUGAAGAUAUCAAAAAUCAAAGAAUAUGAUUUCUCUGUGUGUAUCCACGGUCAAGAAUAAGACGCUUGAAAUGCUAGUUCCUUAUUGUAUUUUUGAGUAUCUUAAGCCUUUAAGUGCUUAACCCAAAUAAACACCAAAAAAGACAACUCAAGAAAGCUUUAAUUCAUCAGUUUACUUCAAAAGUUCCGACUUAUUAAUUCAUACCAUAUGAAAUAAUAUUUAGUUGUACUCUCUUAUAAUUAUUAUUUUCACAAAACAAUAAUUAUUCUUCAAUUUAAAUACAAUAAUUGAUAUUAUUUAUUAAUAGUCAUAUUAAUAAUAAAUAUACAAAAAUGUGUUAACUUGAUAAAUGUGUGACCCUAUAAGAUCAUGUAUUAUUAGCAAUAUCAGUCAAUUAUGAUUCUUGGGCAUAUAGAUUCAACAUAUUCUUUGUACUCUAUUAAGAAGUUUCACCGCAUCCGACACGAGGAAAUUAAACGUAUCAAAUACAAAUGGUAUGAACACGUGUUGAUUUUCCAUGCAUGAUUUCUCAUGUUUGGUGAUCUUGUAUGUAGCAGUUUUUAAAGCAGUCUGUCUCGCCGUGAAACCCUAACCCAUCCAAAAAUCAAAACCCCAGUCGGUUUAAGGGUUAACAUUCCUUUUACCGGGUCGGUCAAGAAAUUCAUAGGUGUCUCUUUCUUGGCGGAAACUCCGACACGUUUAAAUAUGUCAAACAAAACAUCCAUAACCAAAGAACAAAAGUCAUAAUUGGUGUAAAAGAGUCAAAAUUGGUGUUCCAAUAAAUUCUGAUCCAAAAAAGGAGUUGAAAGUCAAAGAUGAUAUUUGUUGUUGGUUGAAUUGUAAGAUUUUGAUGAACUGGUUUGUGUUUUGAUAGCUUCCAAUUAGAUAAAAAUUGGUGCCGAUCAAACUUAAAUUUGUUUUUCGUUUAUUAUACAUUUGAAUGUUAGUUUCGUUGGACUAUGGAUUAAGAAUUGAUAAAUUACGUGAUCAAAUUCAGUGGUCAACAAAAAAGUCUAAAUUUGACUUUUCGAUAUUUUAAAAUGAAUUAGAAGUUGAAAUCAAAGAUGUUGAUACUAUCUUUGUAGUGCUUUCGAUGUUAAUUAGUCGAAAAUGCAAUGAAUGAUUUUGUGUUAUCGAAGGGCUGAGAAACUUCGAUGAUCGUUCGAUAGUGGCUCUUCAAUGACGAUUCAAACGGAAAAAUAGAAUUUUUCGAUAUUGCAUUUUUGAGGGUUAGAGGUCGAACUGGUAUUGAAAAUCAGUGUUAUUUUGACAUUGUAAGAUUAGAAUUAUUAAAAUUUCGGUAUUAAAAACCUAUUUUAAGUUUAUAAAACCGAUUUAUUUAAAUUUCGGUUUAUUGUAGCAGUCUACAGAUGUUAGAAAACAAACAAAAUUCUUAUUACAUGUUGCAAGCCGUUUGGUCUUAAAAAAAAAAAAACAGCUUCUUAAUCUCAACCAGUACGACUCGUUGACUCAUUUCGUUACAAAUAAAACUACUUUAAACUUCAAUUUCAACAAUUUAAACGUUUGGACUAGACUACGUAUCAAGAGAUACUCCAUAAGUACUCCACUGACUAAAUUCCUAGUCUACUCAAUUUAAAAACAAUAUCAUCUCUCACCUCUAAAACCCUCUUUGUGAAAUCACAUGUGCUCAUCUAGUAAUUUUUAUAGAACUUAGUAAUCAUCAACACACUUUUUAAUAAGCGCUAGUGACAAAUGUGUCGAGUAUAAUGAUUUAAACCUAAUCUUAAUCCUCGAAAAAGCCUCCUUUUCCUAAAUCGACUAAAUAAAAAAACCCUAAAGUAACUAACUAAUUAGAAUAUAGUUUUCUAACAACCUCCAAACUUUUAACUCAAAUUAAUGAAGUAUAUGGCUUAUUAAAGGGUUUUCAUGCAUAAAACUUUGGUGGAUGUUUAAACAAAACCAAAUCUUUUUUCCAUUAAAUUCUUGAUGCAGAACUAAAACGUGGUUACAAGGUAAUGUUAAUAAAAAGAACUUAAUCACUCAUUUUUUGUUAGACUUUUUUCAAUCGUAUGAUACGAAAAUACAACUUAAAAGAACAUGUUUUUUGCAAAAAUAAAAAAUCAAGCAGUCAUAGCGUUAUUACACAUGCCAGGAUUUCUAAUGCACCAAAGCGGUUGAAUCGGUUCAGCCUUCACCCCUCUCUUCACCAUUCUAUUUAUCCACUCAUUCAACCUAUCCGUCGCCUCCCCAGAUCUCUUCACCCCCGCCUCAUCACGGUUGCCGGACCACAACACCUCCGCCAUUGCCGACGACCUUGGCCAAAUCCUUGAAUCAAGAACCGUCGCAUCCGCCUGCUCCGACCACAAAGCCACCUCCCCACCCAAAACCAACUUCGCCUCCGCCUCCGUCAGCCCAUAUGUUAUAUCAUAGUUGUAUAUCAACUGCCAUGUCUUGAAAGGUCCACACCAUGAUCCACCUUUUCCCUGUUCAGUACCUGGUGGUUGAUCGUAUAUACUGUUAUUCCCAGUGAAAUCACCAUGGCCACAGUCCAAGUAAUAGUAAUCCGCCGACGACACGAUUGUCCGGUAACCAGCCGACACCAACCGUUUCGUGUUGUUGGGGCCGCCGUUCCAUGUCUGCAUAAUGGUGGUUUCCGGUGGGAGAAUCGAAGGAUUCACCUUUAUUUCGCCGUCAAGAAUAACGUCCUCCCAGUAGACAGCGGUGCGAUUGAGCGACAAAAUGUAAGGGUAGGUGGAGUUGAUGAAGAUUUCGAGGACUUGACUGAGUGUGCCGUUGUUAGCAAGAUACUUUUGGAUUGUAGGGUCGGCUUUCCAACAUCCGGGAACGACCUCAUCGGCUCCGCCGUGGAAAAAUGUAUCUGGAAAUAGUGUAGUCAGUUCUGUGAAAACGUUUUUCACGACGUCGUAGGUUUUCGGAAUUAAAGGAUUUAAGUGGCCGGUUCCUGGCUCUGCUGCCAGCCGGUCUUCCCACGAGGCCCCCGCCGGCAUCCAAAACAUGUUGGCACAAGCUACAAUCUCCGGAUAAGCAUCCGCCCAUGACCCCGUGUGCCCUGCAGAACGAUAAGAAAAGGAGCCAUUGAUAACAUCAAUCGAUCGGGAAUUACGAAUCGCCGGAAAACGUGCACACAAUGAUAAAAUUGAGAACUUACCAGGCAUAUCGAUCUCCGGAAUCACUCGAACGCCGUGUUCCAACCCGAAUUGAACAAUCCGCUUUACAUCUUCGGUCGAAUACUGCAUAUCCGAUCCAUACGAUCCAUUUCCGGCAAGCGCUGGUUCCGAUUUCAGAACCAAUGGAAACGAAUGCGAAUCUGUUAUGUGCCAAUGGAACACGUUCAGUUUAUUGGCACUCAUACCUCCAAUCAACCUCAAAAGAUCCUCAACACCAUAGUAAUUCCUUGAAGUAUCCAAUAGAAUCCCUCUGUGUUCGAAGAUAGGCCAAUCCGAGAUCACCAAUCCGGCUGCCACUCGAGCAGGGCUUCCCCAUACUAGUUGCGAGAAACUCUCCAGUCCUCUCAUAGCUCCCCAAGGCGUCGCCGCCGUGAGAGUAGCGGAGGUGCUUUUGGACGGGAUGGUGAGAGUGUAGGAUUCAUUGACGCCAUGAGAGAGCGUUGCUUUGAGAUCUGAUAUGAUGAUGGUUAAAGUUUGUAACGGCAGGGAGGUGGUGAAGUUGAUCGCCGGAGCAAGUAAGGGGUUGUAGUUAGCGGUUUGGAUUUGGCUGAGGUAACGGUUAACCGCCGGUGUUAAGUAGGGGUGCGGCGGAGAAGUAAUGACGAAUGAUGGGGAGAAAGGGAUUGCCUGUGGGGUGGUCCAGACGAAGGAUCUUGGUUUGGGCCAUAUGUUAAUCGGAGAUCCAACGGCUAAGAUUGAAGGAACCAAAGUGAGAAAUAAUAAUAGUAAGUUAAAAAUAGUGGAAUAAUUAUUGAUAUUCAUUUUUUGUAGUGGAAAGUAAAGUGUGUGAUGAGUGAUGAGUGAUGAGUGAUGAAUAGAAGAAUGGAGAGGAUAAGUUUAUAUAGUUUUUUGAAAAUAUAAAAAGUCAAUGGAACGAAGGAUAUUUCAUUUGUUUGAACUUUUAGAUAUCUCUUUUCUCAUUUUGUUUCUUCCAUUUGGUGUUUUGUGUUUAGUUCAUAUAAUGAUAUAAAUAAUCGUGUAAUUUUUUAAACCAUGAUUAGUC